rnacentral:rRNA from 1 species
CCAAUAGCGUAUAUUAAAGUUGUUGCAGUUAAAAAGCUCGUAGUUGAAUUUCGGGACCAAUAUGUCGGUCGUGCCUCGGUACGUACUGGCAUCGUUGGUUUCUCCCUUCUGACGAACCAUGAUGUCAUUUAUUUGGUGUCGUGGGGAAUCAGGACUGUUACUUUGAAAAAAUUAGAGUGUUUAAAGCAGGCUCACGCUUGAAUACAUUAGCAUGGAAUAAUGAAAUAGGACGUUUGAUUCUAUUUUGUUGGUUUCUAGGAUCGACGUAAUGAUUAAUAGCGAUAGUUGGGGGCAUUAGUAUUCAAUUGUCAGAGGUGAAAUUCUUGGAUUUAUUGAAGACUAACUACUGCGAAAGCAUUUGCCAAGGAUGUUUUCAUUAAUCAAGAACGAAAGUUAGGGGAUCGAAGACGAUCAGAUACCGUCGUAGUCUUAACCAUAAAUUAUGCCGACUAGGGAUCGGAUGAUGUUAAUUUUUUAAUGACUCAUUCGGCGCCUUACG